rnacentral:rRNA from 1 species
GACGAACGCUGGCGGCGUGCCUAAUACAUGCAAGUAGAACGCACAGUUUAUACCGUAGCUUGCUACACCAUAGACUGUGAGUUGCGAACGGGUGAGUAACGCGUAGGUAACCUGCCUGGUAGCGGGGGAUAACUAUUGGAAACGAUAGCUAAUACCGCAUAAUAUUAAUUAUUGCAUGAUAAUUAAUUGAAAGGUGCAAUUGCACCACUACCAGAUGGACCUGCGUUGUAUUAGCUAGUAGGUGAGGUAACGGCUCACCUAGGCGACGAUACAUAGCCGAACUUGGAGGGGGAAUCGGCAAACUGGGAAUGAGAAACGGGCCAGAAUUCUACGGGAAGGAGCAGUAAGGGAACCUUGGGAAAGGGAGGAAGGUUGGACGGGGAAACGCGCGGGGAGGAAGGAAGGUUUCGGAUCGUAAAGCUCUGUUGUAAGAGAAGAACGGGUGUGAGAGUGGAAAGUUCACACUGUGACGGUAUCUUACCAGAAAGGGACGGCUAACUACGUG